UAGGGAAUCUUCCACAAUGGGCGCAAGCCUGAUGGAGCAACACCGCGUGAGUGAAGAAGGGUUUCGGCUCGUAAAGCUCUGUUGUUAAAGAAGAACACGUAUGAGAGUAACUGUUCAUACGUUGACGGUAUUUAACCAGAAAGUCACGGCUAACUACGUGCCAGCAGCCGCGGUAAUACGUAGGUGGCAAGCGUUAUCCGGAUUUAUUGGGCGUAAAGAGAGUGCAGGCGGUUUUCUAAGUCUGAUGUGAAAGCCUUCGGCUUAACCGGAGAAGUGCAUCGGAAACUGGAUAACUUGAGUGCAGAAGAGGGUAGUGGAACUCCAUGUGUAGCGGUGGAAUGCGUAGAUAUAUGGAAGAACACCAGUGGCGAAAGCGGCUCUCUGGUCUGUAACUGACGCUGAGGUUCGAAAGCGUGGGUAGCAAACAGGAUUAGAUACCCUGGUAGUCCACGCCGUAAACGAUGAAUGCUAGGUGUUGGAGGGUUUCCGCCCUUCAGUGCCGCAGCUAACGCAAUAAGCAUUCCGCCUGGGGAGUACGACCGCAAGGUUG
rnacentral:rRNA from 1 species